AUACGGAGGGUGCAAGCGUUGCUCGGAAUUACUGGGCGUAAAGCGAGCGCAGGCGGUCCAUCAAGUCGAUUGUGAAAGCCCGGAGCUCAACUCCGGAACUGCAGUCGAAACUGAUGAACUUGAGUACGAGAGAGGAGAGCGGAAUUCCUGGUGUAGAGGUGAAAUUCGUAGAUAUCAGGAGGAACAUCAGCGGCGAAGGCGGCUCUCUGGCUCGAUACUGACGCUCAUGCUCGAAAGCGUGGGGAACAAACAGGAUUAGAAACCCUAGUAGUCC
rnacentral:rRNA from 1 species